AGAGAGAAAGCGUAUAUAAUAGAAUGAAGGAGAUUGAAAAGAAGCAGAAGGCUCUUGUAGAAUUAUAUAGAGAGAUUUAGGAGUAUGUAAAGAAUUAUAUAUAAGAUUAAAUAACAAAAAUAGAAGUGUUUAGAAGAUUUAUAGAGAAAGAUAAGGUUAAAAAGUGUAAAGACAUAUAUAUAUAAGGAAUGUCAGUUAGUAAGAUUGAAGAAUGAGAGAGAGAGAGAGAGAGAGAGAGAGAGUGUGUGUGUGUGUGUGUGUGUUUCAAAAUCAGUCAGUCAACCUUGAUAAAUUUUUUGUUGGGUGACUAAAAAGAAAUAUGGAGAUGAAAAAACUAUCUAUUGAAAUUAUGAAAAAAAUAUAUUAGUGAUGAUGUAAAAGAAUGGAAAAAAAAAGAAAAAAGCAAUCAGAUGUAUGUAUAUUUUUUUCUUUUCAUUCACAAAAACAAAAACAAAAAGUAAAAAAAAAAAUAGAGAAAGAAGAAAUAGAAUCACAGCAAAUUUUUAAGUCAAUUCACAAUUUUUUUUAUAUAUACGUAGAAAUACAAUUUUUUUUAUACAAAUUUCCCCUUAAAACCUCAACACCCGUUUUCUAUGCAUCUAAUUUGUGUCUCAUUCAUGCCAUUGAUGAUGUAAAAAAAAUAUUCAAAAAUUGGCGCUGGUGGUGGUGGUGGUGGUGAUGGUGGUCCGCUAGGUGGCAGGUCGAACAGUGGUGGUGGUGGUGGUGGUGGUGAUAGGUGCUGCUCUGGUGCUGUCGCUGUGGUGGUGGUGGUGAUGAUUGGCUUGGUGCUGGUGGUGGUGGUGAUGAUGGUGGUUGACAGUGGUGAGGCUGUGGUGUUGGUGGUUGUGGUUAUACUCUCUUGGUUAGCUGUGGUGGUGGUGGUGGUGAGCUAAGUGGUGUCGAUUGUGGUGUCGUAUCUCAGUCCCUCCAGGUGUUGUAUUCCCCUAAUUAAGACAGGUAGGAGGUAGUUUGGACAGGUAAAAACAUGGCUGUCAUUUUUUUUUUUUUUUUUUUUGUGAGGUCGAGAAAGAAAUCAGCCACUCAGUCAAAUCUCAGGUCUGCCAGGUAUUGGUGUCUCCCUAAUUAGACAGGUGAACAGGUAGAUUUUUGACAGGUAUAAGUAGAAUUUGGACCAGUAUAAUUAGGCAGGUAUGAAGUAGAUUUUCAACAGGUAUAAUUUGGCAGGUAUAAAGUAGAAUUUGGACAGGUAGAAUUAGACAGGAAUAAAGUAGAUUUUGGACAGGUAUAAAGUAGAAUUUGGACCGGUAUAAUUAGGCAGGUUUGAAGUAGAUUUUCGACAGGUAUAAUUUGAAAGGUAUAAAGUAGAAUUUGGACAGGUAAAAUUAGACAGGAAUAAAGUAGAUUUUGGACAGGUAUGAAGUAGAAUCUGGACAGGUAUAAAGCAGAAUUUGGACAGGUAUAAUUGAACAGGUAUAAAGUAGAAUUUGGACAGGUAGAAUUUGACAGGUAUAAAGUAGAAUUUGGACAGGUAUAAUUGGACAGGUAUAAAGUAGAAUUUGGACAGGUAGAUUUAGACAGGUGAACAGGUAGAUUUUUGACAGGUAUAAAGUGGAAUUUGGACAGGUAUAAUUUGACAGGUAUAAAGUAGAAUUUGGACAGGUAUAAAGUGGAAUUUGGACAGGUAUAAUUUGACAGGUGUAAAGUAGAAUUUGGACAGGUAUAAAGUGGAAUUUGGACAGGUAUAAUUUGACAGGUGUAAAGUAGAAUUUGGACAGGUAUAAAGUAGAAUUUGGACAGGCAUAAUUUGACAGGUAUAAAGUAGAAUCUGGACAGGUAGAAUUUGAUAGGUAUAAAGCAGAAUUUGGACAGGUAUAAACAGACAGGUACAAGAUAUAAUUUGGACAGGUAUAAACAGACAGGUACAAGAUAUAAUUUGGACAGGUAUAAACAGACAGGUACAAGAUAUAAUUUGGACAGGUAUAAACAGACAGGUACAAGAUAUAAUUUGGACAGGUAUAAACAGACAGGUACAAGAUAUAAUUUGGACAGGUAUAAACAGACAGGUAUAAGGUAUAAUUUGGACAGGUAUAAACAGACAGGUACAAGAUAUAAUUUGGACAGGUAUAAACAGACAGGUAUAAGACAGAAUUUGGACAGGUAUAAGGUAGAAUUUGGACAGGUAAAAUCACUCAUUAUUAUUAUUAUUAUCGUUACUAUUAUUUUUUAUUAUUUGCGGGUAGGUUGAAGGAAAGGUCAGACAGGUAACUCCAAUCUCAGGUGUUCCAGGUGUGAUUCUUUCCCUAAUUAAAAAAAAAUAGGUCUAUAGAAGGGAGGAAAAUGGAGAUAGGCUCAGAUUUAAUUGUUUUUCAUCGUUAUUUCUUUUGAUAUUUUCUGUUUCACCUUUUUUUUUCUUUCAUUUAGUCUUCCCCUUUAUUAUAUUACACACACACACACACACACACACACACACACACACACACACACACACACACACACACACACACACACACUUUUUUCCCUAUUAUUAUUUGUAUAGUUUUUUUUUUUUUUUUUUUUAUUCCUCAUCUUUUUUUUCUCCUUUUCUUUAUCCUUCAUCUUCCUUUUCUUUUCUUUUUCUUAUUGUAAUUUAUCUCUUUUUCUCCUUUUUCUUUUUUAGUCUUCUUCUUCUUCUUCUGUUUUCCUUUCUUUUUAUCUUCUUUUUUAAUCAUUAGAACUACAUUUUUCAUUCAUUUCUUUUCCUCCUUUAUUCACUUUCCUUCAUUCCUUCUCAUUGUUUCUUCUCCUUCUCUUCUUCUUUUCAUUUUUUUUUUUCGUUUCUUGUUUUUCCUUAUUUCUAUUUCCUUUUCCUACACUUUUCCUAACAUUCAGAAAGUAGAGAUGGUAGUAGUAGUAGUAGUAGUAGUAGUUGUAGUAGUAGUUGUAGUAGUAGUAGUAGUAGUGGUAUGUGGUUUGCGCGCGCACACACACACCCUCUCUCUCACACACACACACACACACACACACACACACACACACCAUCACCUUUCCGAUGAUAAUAAUAAUAACAGAUUCACCACCACCACCACCACCAUCACCACCACCACCACCACCACCACACCACCAGAACAGACAGACAGAUAUAGGUAGGGAAAGAAUAGGUAAGAAAAUAAUAGCUGCAAUUGAUAGGUAAGAAUAUGGGUAGGAAGGAGGGGAAGAAAUAUAAGAUAAGCUAAAUAGGGAAGGAAAUAGGUUAAUAGGUCAAUAGUGUAACAUUAAGGUAGGUCGGUAAAGAGGACGAAAUAUAAGGACAGCUGAUAAGAUGAAAUAGUUAAAAAUAGGUAAAAAUAUAUAGGAAAUGGGUAAAAUGGGUAAAUAGGUAGACUCAAAUACAGCUAGCCCAGUCCACAAUAUGGCUAAGUGACCCCCUAUAUUCUUUAUCCUAUACUAAGCCAAUAUACUUUACUUGGAGGGACUGAGAGAGAGGGAGAGAGGGAGAGGAAGGGGGGAGGGUGCGUGGAGGCUUGCUCUGGUGAGGAGGCUGGAGGGCAUUGCUUUGACUGUGGUGGUAGCGAAAUGGGUGGUGAUGGGAGGGGUUAGGAGAUGGUGGUGGUGGUGGUGGUGAAGGGGAAGGCAGGUAUGGUGAUGUAGGUGAUGCUCUUUUGUUUUUAUUCUUCGUCUCUGCUUCCUUGGUGGUCAUGGUGGUCGGCCCCUUUCCGUUAUGGCGCGGGCAGGUUUUUAUAGUGGUGCCAUCUUGCUUGGCUCAUGUUGGCCCCUGGAGUCUGGGUUGAUAGGCGGUCUUCGGGGUAGCAUGUGGGUAGUCAUGGGUCACUCGACGGGGGCCGAACACUGACAGCUUGUGGCGGCGGGCGGAACGCGAACCACUCAGCUACCGCCUCCCUCUAACGGUGGUGAUGAGCGGGGCUUUGCUAUUAGUAAGGUCUGUGGAGAUGAAGGGAUGGUGAUGAGGCAGGCUUUGGUGGUUUUGGGGCAGGCUUUGGUGCUGGCGCUGGUGGUGGUGGUGAUGGUGGUAGGCUCUGAGGUGCUGGGACAGGUGAUGGGGCAGGCUUUGGUGCUGGCGCUGGUGGUGGUGGUGAUGGAGGUGGUGGUCAUUUUCCCCCGUAUAUGCAAUGGUGUUGAAGGGGCGGUGGUGUUGGGGCAGGCUUUGGUGUUGGUGGUGGUAGGCCCUGUGUGUUGCAGGUGAAGGGAUGGUGGUGUUGGGGCAGGCUUUGGUGGUAAUGGGACAGGCUUUGGUGGUGGUGGUGGUAGGCUCUGAGGUGCUGGGCAGUUGGUAAUACCUGUGUGUGUGUUGCAGGUGAAGGGGUGGUGUGUCUCGGGGCGGGGUCGGUGAUAGCGUCCCGGGAGGUCCCUCAGUGUUGCCCAUACUGCUCCAAGCUCAUCAGUAACUUUUAUAACCUCAAGAAACACAUCGCCACCAUGCACCAGUCGCCGGCAUUCUACCACGCCUGCGCCCAUUGUAGUGCGGCCUUCAGAACUGCCGAGUACCUGCGCAAACACCUUGUCAACGUACACAAGUACCCCGUCAAGAAGAAGUGAACCUCUCUUGCAUUACGCUGAUCUCAUAACAUGAUAUUUUGGUUGACUCUCUCUCCCUCUCCCU